CAGUGAGGGAAUUAAGGACGGCACGUUGUCCUUGUAACAGGGAUCCAGCAGGGUGGCCACCCAGUAAUCAGCACAAGUUAGAAUGUGGGCAAAUCUGCAGUCGUUGCACAGGCACUUUGGUGACUCUAGAUAACCACGGGCCGAUCGCACGUCCCCGUGACGGCGCCGACGCAUUCGGAUGUCUGCCCUAUCAACUUUCUAUGGUACUUUCUGCCCCUACCAUGGUGACCACGGGUAACGGGGAAUCGGGGUUUGAUUCUGG